CUAUAUUUUGAAAUAGCUAAUACUGAGAGGCAGCACUGCCCGUAUGCUGCAGGUUUAGCGUUGGCAGAACCCCGUCCGUUUCAAAACAAGAGGAAGGAAGAUGGCAGUUCUCGGAACAUGGAAAAGUUCAGGCUCAGGCAGGGUCAAAGUAACAGAAGAUGAAGGAAGAUGAAACUAGGCAGACUUUAGCAGCAGGAAAAAAAAAAAAGAAGAAGAAGAAGGAAAAAAAACAACAAAAACCCAUCGAGAGGCACAUGAGUAAAUCUUGGAUGCUGUGCAUUCUCAUUUUGAACUGGUUUGAACUGGUGUUGGUUGCUUCUGUGCAGAUAUGGAACGUGGUUAAAGUUUUAUAAUGGAAAAUCUGACAGGCAGUUAACUAAUCCAUGAGUCAUAUUUCGUAAGUGCCUAAAGGUCUCUGAUGUUCGACCUUCAUUUGAUACCCUUGCCAUCAUGGAGUUAUACAUAACCCAUCUGAAGAACAUUCUUUAUAUAGAUGACUGCAUGCUGCCCUUUUAUACCUGCAAGAAUGAGCGCUGCACUUACUGAAACAGGGAAGUCUACUGCCUGCCUUUCCACCCCUCUCUCUCUGUGGCUGUUUACAGAACUGCAGAGGUACGUUGCACGAAACUGACUUAAAUGACAGCAGUGGAAGACUUUCUGCUUAGUUUAAGUCCUCUGUAGGGCCUAGCUGAAAGGUAAGGAGAGGGGUGGGCAGAUGUUUUUGGAUUCUGUUUGCUUUUAUUUUGAAAGAUUUAAUCAUCAGUACAGCUCUAAUAAUGUACAUAGCAUUGGAGCUACCAAUACUAACAGAACUCUGGUGUUUUUACCUGUCUGUAGCUCAGUUGGGCAUAAGGCAGGCCAGGCAGAUACAGAAUGAGACAACCUUUUGUCAGAUGAUCCCAAACGGGAAACCCACCUUUACUGACAACAGUGGCAGUGUGCCAGCAUUAGCAGUGUCGAGGUGUUUAUAGAAAGUCUUGAUGUGUAGAGGGCCCUUCUGGAGAACCUACUACUUUAUUCCUCAGCCAAAGGGUAGAAAAGCAACUAUUUGCUUUUUUGGGUACCAUAAGGAACUUCUCAAGUUGCCCAGUAUGACAGUAAAGAAUAUUGGCAUCGCUGUUAUUUUCAAAGCUAAAAUAAGGCAGACACAUGACUUCAGUAAGCACAUGUGAAGUUUGCAUAUCAUAAAUCAUUGCAAUAAAGAAACCAAAACAAAAUAGUAGCGUGUCGUUAAAGCUGGAAUAUGUUUUCCAUUAAAAAAAUUUCCUUUAGGUUUGAUUUGGCUUCUUUUUCACACCUGUGGAACAGUAGAGUAUCUCAGGAAUAGCUCAUUGCCAUUGUGAGACACAAAGUUCCAAUCUACAUGAAUGGACCCACGUACUGUAUAAAGUACAGCAGAAGGUCAUCUUAUUUUUCAAACACUCCAACAACAGCAGCCUUUACUGCACUACCAAAUGGUAGGCAACAAUUAGAACAGCUGGG
rnacentral:lncRNA from 1 species